rnacentral:rRNA from 1 species
UACGUAGGGUGCGAGCGUUGUUCGGAAUCACUGGGCGUAAAGCGCACGUAGGCGGAUUUGUAAGUCAGGGGUGAAAUCCCGGGGCUCAACCUCGGAACUGCCUUUGAUACUGCAAAUCUCGAGUCCGAUAGAGGUGGGUGGAAUUCCUAGUGUAGAGGUGAAAUUCGUAGAUAUUAGGAAGAACACCGGUGGCGAAGGCGGCCCACUGGAUCGGUACUGACGCUGAGGUGCGAAAGCGUGGGGAGCAAACAGG